GCUAAACCUCCAGAAGAGUGCAAAGAAAAUGAGCUUCCAUAUGGCUGGGAAAAAAUCGAUGAUCCCAUUUAUGGCACUUAUUAUGUUGA
rnacentral:sRNA from 2 species